rnacentral:rRNA from 1 species
AACGAACGCUGGCGGCAUGCCUAACACAUGCAAGUCGAACGAGACCUUCGGGUCUAGUGGCGCACGGGUGCGUAACGCGUGGGAACUUGCCCUUAGGUUCGGAAUAACUCCCCGAAAGGGGUGCUAAUAACGGAUAAUGUCUUCGGACCAAAGAUCUAGCGCUUUUGGAUGGGCCCGCGUUGGAUUAGCUGGUUGGUGGGGUACAAGCCUACCAAGGCGACGAUGGGUAGCUGGUCUGAGAGGAUGAACGGCCACGCUGGGAGUGAGAUACGGCACAGAGUAGUAGGGGAGGGAGAAGUGGGGAAGGUUGCAAAGUGGGGGGAAGCAGGAUGCAGAAACGCGGCGUGCGGGAUGAAGGACUAAGGGUGGUAAACAGCUUUCGCCUGUGACGAAGCGUGAGUGACGGUAAUGGGUAAAGAAGGAACGGCUAAAUACGUG